AGCAGUCGCCACGGUAAUACGAGGGGGGCAAGCGUUGUUCGGAAUUAUUGGGCGUAAAGGGUGCGUAGGCGGCUUGACAAGUCUUGUGUGAAAUCUAUGGGCUCAACCCAUAGUCUGCGCGGGAAACUGUCGGGCUUGAGAAUGGGAGAGGUGAGUGGAAUUUCCGGUGUAGCGGUGAAAUGCGUAGAUAUCGGAAGGAACACCUGUGGCGAAAGCGGCUCACUGGACCAUUUCUGACGCUGAUGCACGAAAGCUAGGGGAGCAAACAGGAUUAGAUACCCCCGUAGUCCCUGUCUCUUAUAC
rnacentral:rRNA from 1 species